rnacentral:rRNA from 1 species
UACAGAGGGUGCGAGCGUUGUCCGGAAUCACUGGGCGUAAAGCGUCCGCAGGUGGCUGUGUAAGUCUGCUGUUAAAGAGUGAGGCUCAACCUCAUAAGAGCAGUGGAAACUACAUGGCUAGAGUGCGUUCGGGGCAGAGGGAAUUCCUGGUGUAGCGGUGAAAUGCGUAGAGAUCAGGAAGAACACCGGUGGCGAAAGCGCUCUGAUAGGCCGCAACUGACACUGAGGGACGAAAGCUAGGGGAGCGAAUGGG